UUUUAUGAGAUUUUCAUAGCCACCAGAAGUCCAAAGCAAAGUACUUCUAAUGUUGAUGGUAUGUUGAUGGUUUUUGGCUGUGUCUGCAUAAUGCCAGUUGUGUAGAGCUUAUGGUGUCUAAGUGUGUGAUACUGUAGCAUACAUGCUAUUGAAUGUUAUCCACACCUCUGUACGUAAAAUGGUACAGGAGAAUAAAUAUAUGUGUACAUAAUGUGUUAUGCAUAGCUUUGUGUGAGUGCAAUACUCAUACAGGCCUGUCAAAUCCAUUAUCAGGAUAGCCUCCAUGUCUACAAAUUGUCAUUCCAAAUAGAGUACCUCAUUAAUCUAAUGAUUCGGGGGAUUUUUUUUUACAUGAAAAUGGUUAUUAAUUUUGGGGGGGUGACUUUCAGUAUUUACAGUACCUAACUUUUUGGAGCUUGGAGAGAAGCAUUAAAUUUAUCCAGUAAGCUAAGACUUCAGCUUGCGUAAAACAUCAGGAGAAAAAGGAAAGCCCUCCAGGAAUGAAACUCGACAUCCCCUUUGUUAGGAGCUGUCUGAGGUUUGAGAAAACAAUUAACGGUUGCCGAGAGUGAGACACAUAAGACAGAGGUGCUAUUUUGCUGUCUUUUCUUGAAGUUUUCUUUUUCCCACAGACCCUAUCAGCUGCCUUUUCUUUGAGUUAUGCCAUCACUGCCCAACGCCCACUGCUGGAAUUUCAGACACAACAGUCAGCUUGGUGUCCCCAGCCCACUUCCUGAGGAAUUUGGGGAGAGUGAAAAUAAAACAGGCCAGUGGAUGAUAACUUUCAAAAGGAGCAUCUUCUGAAAAACAACCACAAGAAAUAUACCCCCAAAAUAUCACAAGAUCACAAGAUAACAAAAGGUUCUCUUUCUAUAAAGCCUAAAUGACUAUUACAUUGCAGCUGUUGAUGCUGAGUAAUAAUAAAAAACUUCCAGUUUCCGAUGAGAGCAAAGAUUCAUAUCUGUCAUGUUUUCAAAUAACUGUUGUCCUCCCUUUCCUUUUAAUAAAGAGUCAAAC
rnacentral:lncRNA from 1 species